AUGGUUGAAAAAGAAGGGUAUCUUCAAAAAGCCAAAAUUGCAGAUGGAGGAAAGAAACUAAGGAAAAACUGGUCUACUUCCUGGAUUGUUCUUUCUGGUCAAAAAAUUGAAUUUUACAAAGACUCCAAGCAGCAAGCUCUUCCAAACACGAAAGCCAGGCACAAAGCAGAAAGUGUGGAUUUGUGUGGUGCACAGAUAGAAUGGGCCAAGGAAAAAUCAAGCAGAAAGAGUGUCUUUCAG